AGUGAACGCUGGCGGUAGGCCUAACACAUGCAAGUCGAACGGCAGCACAGUAAGAGCUUGCUCUUACGGGUGGCGAGUGGCGGACGGGUGAGGAAUACAUCGGAAUCUACUUUUUCGUGGGGGAUAACGUAGGGAAACUUACGCUAACACCGCAUACGACCUACGGGUGAAAGCAGGGGAUCUUCGGACCUUGCGCGAUUGAAUGAGCCGAUGUCGGAUUAGCUGGUUGGCGGGGUAAAGGCCCACCAAGGCGACGAUCCGUAGCUGGUCUGAGAGGAUGAUCAGCCACACUGGAACUGAGACACGGUCCAGACUCCUACGGGAGGCAGCAGUGGGGAAUAUUGGACAAUGGGCGCAAACCUGAUCCAGCCAUACCGCGUGGGUGAAGAAGGCCUUCGGGUUGUAAAGCCCUUUUGUUGGGAAAGAAAAGCAGCAGGUUAAUACCCCGCUGUUCUGACGGUACCCAAAGAAUAAGCACCGGCUAACUUCGUG
rnacentral:rRNA from 1 species